GAUGAACGCUGGCGGCGUGCCUAAUACAUGCAAGUCGAGCGAACGGACGAGAAGCUUGCUUCUCUGAUGUUAGCGGCGGACGGGUGAGUAACACGUGGAUAACCUACCUAUAAGACUGGGAUAACUCCGGGAAACCGUAGCUAAUACCGGAUAAUAUUUUGAACCGCAUGGUUCAAAAGUGAAAGACGGUCUUGCUGUCACUUAUAGAUGGAUCCGCGCUGCAUUAGCUAGUUGGUAAGGUAACGGCUUACCAAGGCAACGAUGCAUAGCCGACCUGAGAGGGUGAUCGGCCACACUGGAACUGAGACACGGUCCAGACUCCUACGGGAGGCAGCAGUAGGGAAUCUUCCGCAAUGGGCGAAAGCCUGACGGAGCAACGCCGCGUGAGUGAUGAAGGUCUUCGGAUCGUAAAACUCUGUUAUUAGGGAAGAACAUAUGUGUAAGUAACUGUGCACAUCUUGACGGUACCUAAUCAGAAAGCCACGGCUAACUACGUG
rnacentral:rRNA from 1 species